CCUACGGGAGGCAGCAGUGGGGAAUAUUGCACAAUGGGGGAAACCCUGAUGCAGCGACGCCGCGUGAGUGAAGAAGUAAUUCGUUAUGUAAAGCUCUAUCAGCAGGGAAGAAAAUGACGGUACCUGAGUCAGAAGCCCCGGCUAACUACGUGCCAGCAGCCGCGGUAAUACGUAGGGGGCAAGCGUUAUCCGGAUUUACUGGGUGUAAAGGGAGCGUAGACGGCAGUGCAAGUCUGGAGGGAAAGGCGGGGGCUCAACCCCCGGACUGCCCUGGAAACUGUACGGCUGGAGUGCAGGAGAGGUAAGUGGAAUUCCUAGUGUAGCGGUGAAAUGCGUAGAUAUUAGGAGGAACACCAGUGGCGAAGGCGACUUACUGGAGUGUAACUGACGUUGAGGCUCGAAAGCGUGGGGAGCAAACAGGAUUAGAUACCCUGGUAGUC
rnacentral:rRNA from 1 species